AACGCACGAGACCUGCGGACCUGCGGAAGGAUCAUUACCGAGUUCUCGCCCCUCGCGGGGUAGACCUCCCACCCACUGUGAUCACUACCGUCGUUGCUUUGGCGGGCCGCUGGGCCCAGCCCACCGCCGGCCCCGGCUGGCGCGUGCCCGCCAGAGGCCCUACAAACGCUGGAUAUCAGUGCCGUCUGAGUACACAUGUUAAUCGUUAAAACUUUCAACAAUGGAUCUCUAGAUCGGAAG
rnacentral:misc_RNA from 1 species